rnacentral:rRNA from 1 species
UACGUAGGCCGCAAGCGUUGUUCGGAAUUACUGGGCGUAAAGAGUGCGUAGGCGGUUGGGUAAGUUUGGUGUGAAAUCUCCCGGCUUAACUGGGAGGGUGCGCCGAAAACUGCCCGGCUUGAGUGUGGGAGAGGGAAGUGGAAUGCCUGGUGUAGCGGUGAAAUGCGUAGAUAUCAGGCGGAACACCGGUGGUGUAGACGGCUUCCUGGACCAUUACUGACGCUGAGGCACGAAAGCGUGGGGAGCAAACAGG